UUAUUUACACUCAAGAGAUGAGAAAAUGAGGUUCAAGGAGAUACACUCAUCCAUUCAACACAUACUUACUGAAUGCUUCACUGUGUGCCAGGUGCUUUUCUAGGCCCAAGACCAAAUGCCUUGGUCCAGGUUCCAAGGGAGCCAGUCCUGAAUGAUAGUACAGCACGAUAUUUAUGUUGAUGUUCAUGGGGUGCAUACUCAGAUGAGGCCAGGAAGGGAAGAUCAGCAUGGGCUGGGAUCUAGGCCGGAUCUAGGAUCCACCUGGCAAGGCCCAUUAGGCUGUAUGGUCCAGGAAGGUGGGGACCAGGGCCAGCUUCUUCACUCUUGUCCCUCUAAUGCCUAGCACAGUAUAAAGCAGGUCCUGGAUGGCGAAUGAAUGGUGUCACUCUGAACCAGGUGCUGAAAGGUGGGUGGGGUGGAGUGAAGCACAGGGUGAGGAGAGGAGCUGACCCGCUGCUGGGCACAGUUGCAUGUUCAGGGCAUCUGACUCCCUUCUCCCUCUCUCCUCCCAGUCAUUCCUCUUCCAGCUACUAAAAGGCCUGGGAUUCUGUCAUAGCCGCAAUGUGCUACACAGGGACCUGAAGCCCCAGAACCUGCUAAUAAACAGGAACGGGGAGCUGAAAUUGGCUGAUUUCGGCCUGGCUCGAGCCUUUGGGAUUCCCGUCCGCUGUUACUCAGCUGAGGUGAGCUAGGAGAUGGGAUAUGGGACUGCGGGAGGGAGUCCCU
rnacentral:sRNA from 1 species